rnacentral:lncRNA from 1 species
UUUUUUUUUAUUUUUAGGUUGAACUAAACAAGGCCUAAAAGCUAGACUGUCCCACUCCUAUAUGUACUAGUGACGAGGAAGUCGUUGAUCGAAGUAGAGAGGAUCAUGAAUUACCCACGGACACACACACACACACAUGGCAUCUCAAGGCAAGUUAUGUUGCAUGCAUGAAUAAUGUUUCAGUGGCCAGGCCAGAAACGCAAACCGACCUGCCAAUUAUAUAUGCCACCAGAUUCCCCAAUCCAAUGAGCCUCGACACGUACGCACAACGGCACAAGGAG